rnacentral:snoRNA from 1 species
AAUGCUUGUGAUGAAAAUAUCAAGCUCCCUCUUCUGAAAUGAAAGUUGAGGGCGAUCGCUAGCAGAAUCGAACCUAUUAAUUAAACGCCACCACUGAGUAA